rnacentral:rRNA from 1 species
GACGAACCGUGCGAACGUUAUUCGGAUCACUGGGCUUAAAGGGCGCGUAGGCGGGCAGGUAAGUCAGUGGUGAAAUCUUCGAGCUUAACUCGGAAACUGCCUUUGAUACUAUCUGUCUUGAAUAUUGUGGAGGUAAGCGGAAUAUGUCAUGUAGCGGUGAAAUGCUUAGAUAUGACAUAGAACACCUAUUGCGAAGGCAGCUUCUACGCAUAUAUUGACGCUGAGGCACGAAAGCGUGGGGGAUCAAAACAGG